UAAAAAAAAUCGACAUAGUUGCUGUUUCGCGGUGACAUUCGUCGGAAAUUGGGUCAUCUUAAACCUUUUGGUUUUAAGCGGCUUAAAAUUUUCUUUACGAUUCCACGAACGUUUCUAAGAUUUAUUUUCUUACACACGUUUAAGGGUAAUCGAUUUUUAUUAGACGUGGCCGUCACAUCGGAUCGCGUCCAUAAAUAUUUCGUUAA
rnacentral:misc_RNA from 1 species